AUGCUACAGAAAGGAACACAGACAACUCCAGACCAAGAGCAGGCAAUAAAACGCAGAUAUUUAGAUAUGAUUAGUAAGGAAAUAGACAAGACUGAAGACACAACAGAAAACCUGAGUAUGCUCCAGAUGAAGAAAGAAAAAGACUAUAUCAGGACCACAUAAGAUGAAAACUUAAUCUACAUGGACAAAUUGAGGAGGAAUGGAAAAAUAAAGAAAUGUUACUUAUGACAAAGAUUGGAGAAGAAGCAAAAAGAGACGUGAAAGUUGAUGAACAAUGUCAGAAAAUCAGAGACAGAAUUGCUCAGAAGGUAGUGAGGUUUUGCCAAACACUUGAGCUGUUUGAGGAAAGGUUUUUGCCAUUUUUGAUAAUUUAAAGUAUUGUCAGAAGUGGCCUACACUCACAAGGCCAGCUACUGAUGGAGAAACCAAGUGUGGCCUAAUCCUGAGUUUCAAGGGCUGAAGUGGGAAUAAUCUGCAGAAAAUGAUCAAUGAAUUAAAUUGGCCCUAGUUAUUAAAAUAUUUUCUUAGGCUGGGGGUUAGCUCAGUGGUAGAGCACUUAUGCUGGACAACAAAAGGUGGUCCUUACUUCUUACUAUCUUUCUAUCUUUCUAACUUUGUACUUAGGUGACAUUAGGAAUUUCCAGACAAGAAUAUUGAUUGAAUUCAAAUACACCAUCAUAUUUAAAAUAUCUGUUUUCAAUUCCAGUGGCAAGUUAAUACUAAGCAUUUUAAUAUAUUAAAUAUAUUUUAAUAUUUUAGAAACAAGCAUAUCUAGAGAAAAAAAUUGCAUACCAUUUGCAAAAAAUGCAAAGAAAUGAAUACAAAGAAGAAUCAGAGGGAAGUACCUUUGAAAACAAAGGCCAAGAUGUGACAGGUGAGACAAUAAAAGGCAAAAUAGCUAAGUAGAAUAUGCAUAUAUGUAUAUUAAAUAUUAGUGUUUUUUUAAAUCCCCUCCUUAUUUGGAGAGGACACAAGGCCCUUCCAAAAACUAAGUCCUAGGAUCUCAUACUACUUGUGUAAAGCAAGUCCAGGACAGCUCCAGUUUUAAAGUGUGCAUACACAACCACAGUAUGUAUAAUGUACAUUAUAACCAUGACAGGUUCAUUAUUCUUAUAAAGUGGCUCAGUAGACAAGACUGCCAGAAUAUCCUGUUUUUAAAAGGGCCAGUAAUAGGAGACAGCGCGCACAAACAGGUAAGAGCAGGAGAAAGAAAUGGGUUUAACAGGAGG
rnacentral:lncRNA from 1 species